CACUGGAUUGCUGCCGUUCUUGUUGCGUAAUCAGACUCCGCUCCAAUUGAUUGGAUUUGGUGGCUGUUUACGGCCCAACCGCAGCCAAUAACCUUAGGGGAUGGGGCUUUGUUUCAUUAAAAUACCCCCAACCAAAAUAUUACAGCACCAUUAACCUUCACCCUUUUCAUGUGAACCCAGCAGAGCAAAGGCGCCAAUCACUGGUCUCCUUCCCUCGCUGUCGUGACUCUUCCCUCCAUCAAUUCCAGCCACCACGUCCGUGUCGUCGUUAUUCCCCGUCACUGAUCUCCUCCCUCCACCGUGUAGCUCCCGCGCGCGAAGGUAAACUAAAAGGGGUCGUCCAAGUCUUCUCCUUCCUCUGUGCACGUCCGUGACGUCGUCGGCGGUCGCCCCAACCAUCCGUCCCAGUGUCGUCGUCGGCAGCCUUCCCCCUUGCCCUUGCCCUGUUGUGCGUUGCCGAUUGCCCCCUCUCCCCUCUCUCUGGUUCUGUAACGCGCGGAUAUCUCAGAGAUUUGAAAAAAAUUAUUUGGGGUGUGUCUCUAAGGUGGCAUUUGAAAUUGAUGUGAUCUCACUCUUCCAGGAUACUAAGAUGGUUGAUGGAUGAAGAAGAACAAGAUAAAGGAGACUACCAAACAAAAAUCCAGUUUUUGAUUGUUGAAAUGUCUCGCGUUACUGACAUAGACACCAGUGUCAUCCAUGCCCUUGAAGAGUUACAUAGAAGUCUUGAGAAGAGAGAUGUUGAGGGGCCAAGAGUCAAACUAAAGAAUGUAUCAUGGGCCAUCACAACCUUAGCUUUGAAGCGAACUGCAGCUCCUGUUUUGAGUGAAGAAUUGGACCCCAUGUUACACCUGUCACUAUUAACCCAAGUGAUUUGCGUGGUUCUUUUCACAAAGGAAAGGAUGACAAUGACACAAAUUGUUGGACUUCUCCUAGUGGAAAAGGAUUUAUGAUCAAGGGAAAGAAGUAACUUGUUCUCAUAUGUUCCUCCUUUUGAAUUGCAGUCGGAAGCUGGGAAAAAAGCUUCCAUUUAUCCUUGUCAUUAAUCUUCAGGGUUUUGGAGAGGCAAAGGAUAUGGCUUCAGAACUCCUUACACUGCAAUAAUUGAUGCUUUAUUAAAAUGUGGCUCAGUUAAGGGUAUGUUGUUAUUUUACUACAAGUUUCUUACUUUUCUUGUUUAAUAGGGAACUAGGAUAAUUUUAGGAAGACUUGAAAACAUAAAUUGAUGUUAUUUUGAAUUAAUAUUUGUGGGGAGUGAUGAUAAAUAGUAACCAAAUUCAUGUUUCUGAAAUUAAUGAUAUGUGUUGGCUUGAUUUUCUUCUAUUGUAACUAAAAUUUUUUAUGUAAU